AAUUAUUUUAUUGUAAUUUUUUUUUAAAGAUAAGAAACUUGAAAUUAAGUUUUAUAGUGGUGAAAAAUUCAAUACUAUUGAAUCAAAAUUGAAUUUGUGGCGAUUUUUGGAGUAGAGAGAGAUUGCUGCCAUGAACGGAAUACAAUUGAGGUUAGGGAUUUCUAUCUCUUCUAUCAUUUACAUUUUGGAUUUUCUGUUAUAUUUUAAAAUUUUGUGUUAAAAAUCUUCUCCUUAACUAU
rnacentral:lncRNA from 1 species